rnacentral:sRNA from 1 species
ACCGUGAAUAAAGAUGAGUUGAAGC